rnacentral:tRNA from 1 species
GCGGCAAUGGCUCAGUGGUAGAGCCCCAGCUUCGCGUGCAGGGAGACGUGGGUUCGAUUCCCGGCUGCUCCC